CAGCCGCCGCGGGAACACGAAGGGUGCAAGCGUUAAUCGGAAUUACUGGGCGUAAAGCGCACGUAGGCGGCUUGGUAAGUUAGAGGUGAAAGCCCGGAGCUCAACUCCGGAAUUGCCUUUAAGACUGCCGAGCUAGUAGGUGAGAGAGGUAAGUGGAAUUCCGAGUGUAGAGGUGAAAUUCGUAGAUAUUCGGAAGAACACCAGUGGCGAAGGCGGCUUACUGGCUCAUUCUAGACGCUGAGGUGCGAAAGCGUGGGGAGCAAACAGGAUUAGAUACCCCAGUAGUCCCUGUCUCUUAUAC
rnacentral:rRNA from 1 species